AGGGGUAUAGCUCAGUGGUAGAGCACAUGCUUAGCGCGUACAAGGUCCUGGGUUCAAUCCUCAGUACCUCCA
rnacentral:tRNA from 1 species